GAUGAAGAACGUAGCGAAAUGCGAUAAGUAAUGUGAAUUGCAGAAUUCAGUGAAUCAUCGAAUCUUUGAACGCAUCUUGCGCUCCUUGGUAUUCCUUGGAGCAUGCCUGUUUGAGUAUCAUGAGCAAAUCUCAAAGUCAAUUCCUUUUGUUGAUUCAAUUGGUUUUGCUUUGGACUUGGAGGCCUUGCUGAUUUCACAGUCUGCUCCUCUUAAAUGCAUUAGCUGGAUCUCAGUAAUUAUGCUUGGUUCCACUCGGCGUGAUAAGUAUCACUCGCUGAGGACACUGUUAAAAAGGUGGCCAGGAAAAUACUGAUUGAACCGCUUCUAACGGUCUAUUAAGUUAGACAAUUACCCUUAAGUUUGAUCUCAAAUCAGGUAGGACUACCCGCUGAACUUAAGCAUAUCAAUAAGCGGAGGA
rnacentral:misc_RNA from 1 species